AACCUUUAGCCAAACAAGCAUUAAAGGCAAUACCUGCCCAGUGAACAAUUAAACGGCCGCGGUACCCUAACCGUGCAAAGGUAGCGUAAUCAUUUGUCUAUUAAUUGUAGACCUGUAUGAAUGGUAAAAUGAGGACCUGACUGUCUCUUAUAGUAAAUCAAUUAAACUGAUCCCCCAGUACAAAAGCUGGGAUAAAAACAUAAGACCAGAAGACCCUGUGAAGCUUAAACUAACCUAUCAAACCAAAUGAUAGCUACUUUUGGUUGGGGCGACCUUGGAAAAAAAAAGAACUUCCAACACAUGACAUCCCUCAUACAUAGGCCGACAGGCCACACAGACCCAGCAUAGCUGAUAAUCGAACCAAGUUACUCCAGGGAUAACAGCGCCAUCUUCUUCAAGAGCCCAUAUCAAAAAGAAGGUUUACGACCUCGAUGUUGGAUCAGGACAUCCUAAUGGUGCAGCCGCUAUUAAGGGUUCGUUUGUUCAACGAUUAACAGUCCC
rnacentral:rRNA from 1 species